rnacentral:rRNA from 1 species
GACGAACGCUGGCGGCGUGCUUAACACAUGCAAGUCGAACGAAGAGCGAUGGAAGCUUGCUUCUAUCAAUCUUAGUGGCGAACGGGUGAGUAACGCGUAAUCAACCUGCCCUUCAGAGGGGGACAACAGUUGGAAAUGACUGCUAAUACCGCAUACGAUCUAAUCUCGGCAUCGAGGAUAGAUGAAAGGUGGCCUCUACAUGUAAGCUAUCACUGAAGGAGGGGAUUGCGUCUGAUUAGCUAGUUGGAGGGGUAACGGCCCACCAAGGCGAUGAUCAGUAGCCGGUCUGAGAGGAUGAACGGCCACAUUGGGACUGAGACACGGCCCAGACUCCUACGGGAGGCAGCAGUGGGGAAUCUUCCGCAAUGGACGAAAGUCUGACGGAGCAACGCCGCGUGAGUGAUGACGGCCUUCGGGUUGUAAAGCUCUGUUAAUCGGGACGAAAGGCCUUCUUGCG